rnacentral:rRNA from 1 species
GAUGAACGCUGGCGGCGUGCCUAAUACAUGCAAGUCGAGCGAACAGACGAUGAGCUUGCUCCUCUGACGUUAGCGGCUGACGGGUGAGUAACACGUGGAUAACCUACCUAUAAGACUGGGAUAACUUCGGGAAACCGGAGCUAAUACCGGAUAAUAUAUUGAACCGCAUGGUUCAAUAGUUAAAGACGGUUUUGCUGUCACUUAUAGAUGAAUCCGCGCCGCAUUAGCUAGUUGGUAAGGUAACGGCUUACCAAGGCAACGAUGCGUAGCCGACCUGAGAGGGUGAUCGGCCACACUGGAACUGAGACACGGUCCAGACUCCUACGGGAGGCAGCAGUAGGGAAUCUUCCGCAAUGGGCGAAAGCCUGACGGAGCAACGCCGCGUGAGUGAUGAAGGUCUUCGGAUCGUAAAACUCUGUUAUUAGGGAAGAACAAAUGUGUAAGUAAAUAUGCACGUCUUGACGGUACCUAAUCAGAAAGCCACGGCUAACUACGUG